rfam:Streptomyces sp. AA4 genomic scaffold supercont1.1, whole genome shotgun sequence.
CGAGCUGGCAGGACGGUCGCGGCCCGGGUUCUCCCGGUCCGAGGAAAGUCCGGACUCCGCAGGGCAGGGUGGUUGCUAACGGCAACCCGGGGCGACCCGCGGGACAGUGCCACAGAAAACAGACCGCCCCCGUCUCGCGACGGGGGUAAGGGUGAAACGGUGGUGUAAGAGACCACCAGCAUCCCGGGUGACCGGGAUGGCUCGGUAAACCCCACCCGGAGCAAGGCCAAGAGGGAGCAGCGCUCCUGCGCAGGCGAUCGAGGGCGGCCCGCCCGAUGCCUGCGGGUAGGCCGCUGGAGCCUGCCGGCGACGGCAGGCCGAGAUGGAUGACCGUCGCCCGGUCCGCCGCGAGGCGGCCCGGGAACAGGAUCCGGCUUACAUGCCAGCUCGUCCG